rnacentral:rRNA from 1 species
CACGUAGGGUGCGAGCGUUGUCCGGAAUUAUUGGGCGUAAAGAGCUCGUAGGCGGUGUGUCGCGUCGGCCGUGAAAACCUGCAGCUUAACUGUGGGCUUGCGGUCGAUACGGGCAUCACUGGAGUUCGGCAGGGGAGACUGGAAUUCCUGGUGUAGCGGUGAAAUGCGCAGAUAUCAGGAGGAACACCGGUGGCGAAGGCGGGUCUCUGGGCAGUAACUGACGCUGAGACGCGAAAGCGUGGGGAGCGAACAGG